GCCUACGGCCAUACCAGUCUGAAAGUGCCUGAUCUCGUCAGAUCUCAGAAGUUAUGCAGACUUGGGCCUGAUUAGUACUUGUAUGGGAGACCAAAUAGGGACCUCAGGUGCUGUAAUCU
rnacentral:rRNA from 1 species